rnacentral:rRNA from 1 species
AGUCACUGACAUUAGAUACCCGCGUAGUCCCAGCCGUAAACUAUGUGCGUUAGGUGUGUCGGUAACCACGCGUUACUGAUGCGCCGAAGAGAAAUCGUGAAACGCACCACCUGGGAAGUACGGUCGCAAGGCUGAAACUUAAAGGAAUUGGCGGGGAGCACCACAACAGGUGGAGCCUGCGGUUUAAUUGGAUUCAACGCCGGACAUCUCACCGGAUAAGACAGCUGAAUGAUUGUCAAUCUGAAGGUUUUACAUGACUAGCUG